rnacentral:rRNA from 1 species
CCCCUAGAUGUUCUGGGCCGCACGCGCGCUACACUGAACAGUUCAACAAGUCUUAACCUUGGCCGAUAGGUCUGGGUAAUCUUUGAACGCUGUUCGUGAUUGGGAUAGACCUUUGCAAUUAUGGGUCUUCAACGAGGAAUUCCUAGUAAACGCAAGUCAUCAGCUUGCAUUGAUUACGUCCCUGCCCUUUGUACACACCGCCCGUCGCACCUACCGAUUGAAUGGUCCGGUGAAAUCUCGGGACGGCGGCUUGGUCGCUUGCGUCCGACUGCUGAAACUUGAUUAAACCAUACCAUUAGAGGAAGGUGAAGUCGUAACA